rnacentral:rRNA from 1 species
UACGGAGGGAGCUAGCGUUAUUCGGAAUUACUGGGCGUAAAGCGCACGUAGGCGGCUUUGUAAGUAAGAGGUGAAAGCCGUGGUGCUACAACGACCAGAACUGCCUUUUAGACUGCAUUCGCUUGAAUCCAGGAGAGGUGAGUGGAAUUCCGAGUGUAGAGGUGAAAUUCGUAGAUAUUCGGAAAGAACACCAGUGGCGAAG